UUCCUUUUGUUUUGGAUGAUGUGAUCAACCAGAAAUAAUGUCUGUGAGAUGGUAACAUGGAAUAAUAACAGAGAUUAUUUAUAUAUCUUCAAACAGUUUACAUGGGAUGAAAAGAAGUUAAACUAGCACAUACCUAAGCCUUUGCUUCAGACCUUUUUUGACAUAUGGCAGCAGAGGGGCAGUCUGACAAAAUGGCAUCUGACAUGGAAGUAUGGAUGAAAAAAGGUGCAAAAUUGAAUUCCUUUAUGUGGAAAAAGCUGCACCCACUGACAUUCAUCAAUGCUUGCUGAAAGUUUAUGGAGAUCAAACAGCAGAUGGUAGUACAGUGAGGUGGAGGGUGGUGCACUUCAGCAAUUGCAACAGUGAAGUGAAUGACCAAAUUCCUGACAGCCACGCACAGCUAUCACACCUCCAAAUGAAGAGUGUCUCUAUAGUUCAUCCACAUGAAUCGGUGGCUUACGACCAGGGAAUUGUGUCUUCAACGUUCUGGAAACAUUGGUAGUAACACUGGAAUAUUACAAAUUUUGUUCCAGAUGGGUCCCA
ensembl:lncRNA